UGUUGCUUCUUUGCUCCUUAGUUCCUCCCCUAACCUGGUGCUAAAUUAGAUCAUAGUGUGGUCCUUGGACCAACAGUAUCAAUAGCACCUGAAAGUCAUGCUGGAAAUACAGAUUCACAGGCUGCUCCCCAGAAUACUGAAGAAGAAACUCUAGGAGUGAGACCCAACAAUCUGUGUUUAACAAGUCCCCAGGUGAGUCUGAUGCACACAGAAAUGUGAGCUGCUGUAUUAGAUGGUGUUGAGUUCAUGCCACCGGAUCACUGACACACACGUCUGCUCACUGCUUGCUCUUUGCACAGGCCCCUGGAUCCUCCUGGAAUCCCUGAUCCCUGUUGCUCCCUGGCGGAGUUUUCUAGUCCCUCUUACUUGAAGCAUGUCUUUCAGAGCCCGGCACCACCCAAGUUGGGUAUCUGAUACCCCAUCAGCCUGAGUCUCUUAAAGGCCUUUAUACACAUAUGUCUACACAUAGGGAUUUGGAUGAUCUCGGGAUCCCACAUCCUCGCUGUCCCCUGUCCCCCCACAACAUCCCACACCAAUACCUUUCUGAAGUUUUCUAGUCCCUCCUUUUUGUUUGUGGUCCUUAAAGCCCAGCCCCAUGCCUGACUUUGGUUCCCAGUGAGCAUUGUACAUUUGUGGAUAUUAAAUCUUUGGCAAAGUCAUUUACCUGGGCUGGAAUAGGGCUCUUGGCUGAUUCUUU
rnacentral:lncRNA from 1 species